rnacentral:lncRNA from 1 species
UUGGAGAAGAAAGAAUUGGAAGCCAAAAUAUUUCUAAGUUAAAAAAGUGUGUAGCCGAUGGAAAGUUUGUGGUACAAAUUAUCCCUGUCCUGGAACAAUUUUGAGCAUUUUGUGGCACGAUUAAAAUGUUAGUUACACAAUUUGAAGAAAGAGAUGUUGGAGAGAGACAUUACAAAGAGAUGUUGAGGUGACCGUUGAAAAAUCGUGGCACGAUUUGCAGGGAUCGUGGCACGAUUUUGAGAUAAUUUUUUC